rnacentral:sRNA from 1 species
CGCAAGUGAAAUACCACUA